rnacentral:lncRNA from 1 species
CAUAAUCAGCUCCGAUGUCCCCAUCAACUCCUCCCGAGUGAAAAGAACUCGACCCCGUCGAGUGCAGGUCUGAACAGUUGUCAUACUGCUCCAGAAGGUCAGGGUCAAGGCGCUGCAACUCGGCUCGCGAAAUUCACGUCACAUCCGAUUCGGGUUGACCUUUCCACCGAACAAAGUAACGUUGGUAACUUCCUCUCCUGGUAGAUAUAACAUGCUCAUCUAAUAUAUGUUCCAUGUGUUCUCUGCGUGCAUGAAACUUUGGAGGUGGAGGCU